rnacentral:piRNA from 1 species
UGGCAGGGAAAUCAAUAAAGUAAAGCUGA